GCCCUGGUAGCUCAGUUGGUGGAGCGUUACCUUGGUAAGGUAAAGGUCGAGAGUUCGAUCCUCUCCCAGGGCU
rnacentral:tRNA from 1 species